CGGGCGCCGAACAUGCAUGCGUUUUGGAGGCACGUUAGGCCCCCGAAAGCAUGAGUUAGGGAAGUUCAGGUUCGGCCGCCGAAAGUCAAGUUCGGCCGCCGAACAUUUGCAUGGAUGCGGAGGCACUUUCGGCCCCCGAACGUGGCCUGGCCAGCCACUAUAAAUGGGGCACUUAGCCGAAAUGGGCGAGCUUUCUCCCAUUUUCGGCCACAGCGAGCUUCCGACCUUCCCUUUG
rnacentral:lncRNA from 1 species